UUGUCUAUUGCUAUAGACUGAAAGUUUGUGGCUCCCCAAAACUCGUAUGUUGAAAUCCUAACCCCCAAUGUGAUGGUAAUAAGAGGUGGGGCCUUUGGAAGGUGAUUAGGUCCUGGGGGUAGAGCCCUCAUGAAUGGGGUCAAUACCCUGAUUAAAGAGACCCCCAGAAAGUUCCCUUCCUCCUUCCACCCUGGAAGGACACAGCAAGAAGUAGGCAGUCUGCAACCAGGAAAAGGGCUUUCACCAGAACCCCAGCACGCUGGCAACAUUUGAGCUCCUACUUCCAGCCUCCAGAACUACAGCGUGGUGUUCCCAGGAAAGCCAUCGGCCAGAACGCCAACAGUGGUUUUCUUAGGGAAAUGCAAUUUCUGGACUCCAUUAGGUAGGCUCCAGAAAGGCUCACAUGGUAAGGAACUCAUAUCUCCAGCCAAUAGCCAGAAAGGAACUGAACCCUGCCAGCAACUGCAUGAAUGAGCCUAGGAAAGAAUCCUCCCCAGGUGACUGUUCAGAUGAGACUGCAGCCCUGCAAACAGCUUUCAUGCAGCCUCCUGAGAGACCUUGGACCAGAAUCACUCAGCUAAACUGAUCCCAGUUUCCUGAUCUACAGGAUAAGUAAUUGCCCUUAUAAGCUGCUAUAUUUAGGUAUAAUUUGUAUGUAGCCAUAGAUACAAAAUUCAAGCCCUGAGACUUUCUGCCAAGUAAUAAAUUAUUUCUCCUACCUUGAUGCACACAGGUUGUUCCCAUUGAGAGAAGAAAAAUUCUCCUCCUUCCCCUCCCAUAAACAUUCAUGUCAACACACAAACUCCCCAUCUCUGGCUGGGGAGUAAGUGCUAUAGGUAACUCACAAAUAUUUUCACUACACAGAUGUAUAUGGUUCUAGAUAGUGAAACCUUCAGAAAGUCACUGCUUCACUCUUUCCUUGGCUCCAUCAUUUUUAUGUUCACUUAAUUUGUUUGGAAUCUUUCAUGAGUCAAUAGAAGCCAGAGAAUUCUAAGGAAGAA